GUCCCUUUAAUUGAUAUAGAUAAAGUGCUCUACUAGGAUAAUGCG
rnacentral:tRNA from 1 species